rnacentral:sRNA from 1 species
GCACACGGCUUUUUCAUCGAGUCAGUAUGAGUUUGGUCUUCGGAAAAAUUGCAUGUAACAUGUGGCGGUACAGUGGAAGACGAGUGUAGCUUGCGCAAAAACAGCAAUGAUGGCAGCAGCGACAGCCUUGACCGAUCUUCCUACUGAGGAUUCGGAAAUCCCGAGGCUGUCUCCAAUCAGCCGAAGAUGGGCCCCAGUUGCUACAAACCGUAGAAACAGCAACACUUGCAACAGUGGAGGCACUGGACUGUUCCUUUUGGUCGCUGUUACGAGUUGGUCGGAAACACCAUUCACAAGAAAGUGAAUGGUGUCGGGGCGAAAUCUAUAGCGCUAGUAGAUUUCAAAGUCAUCCAACGACUCCAAGGGAUUACUACGAUCUCUAAAAACCCUUGGUCGGACUAAAACAUGACGUCGUCUGCGAUUUCUUGCUAAUCGUCUGUGUACGGCAGCCAUUUUGUUUGCUUGAGAAAAUUCUUAAGUCUACUUUUUUGUAUACUCAAAUAUUUGAGAAUAAAACAGAAUUUGA